AGUCAUCUUCCUUCCUUAGCCCCUAAAGUGCUGGGAUUAGAGGUUUGCACCACGUCUGGCUCCUAGCACUUUCAUUGAGACAGGAGCUCAUGGUGAUGGAGGGGGAGCCAGAGCACACAUGUGGCAGUCAGAGAACAACUGAGAAUGGUUGUCUUUUUCCACACUGAUGGGGAUGCCAGGGACCAAACUCAAGCACCAGUACGAGAAACAGAACGCCAAACUUUGUGCAAGCAACCUACUACUGAGCAGCAUCUCUUGCUGUUUUCAGUAUAAGUUACAAUAAAUGUAAAACAAAUC